rnacentral:rRNA from 1 species
UACGUAGGGACCAAGCGUUGUUCGGAUUUACUGGGCGUAAAGGGCGCGUAGGCGGCAAUUCAAGUCAGCUGUGAAAUCUCCGAGCUUAACUCGGAACGGUCAGCUGAUACUGCUUUGCUAGAGUACAGAAAGGGCAACCGGAAUUCUUGGUGUAGCGGUGAAAUGCGUAGAUAUCGAGAGGAACACCUGCGGCGAAGGCGGGUUGCUGGGCCGACACUGACGCUGAUGCGCGAAAGCCAGGGGAGCGAACGGG